CACGACAACAAACCUUAUUACCAAAAGCAUUAUAACUUUGAGUUCACCAAUAAUAACAAUCCGCAAAAAUCAAAAGACAAGCUACCAACCAGCAAUUAGCCAAGUUAUAUCUAAAUGACCUAACUUAAGUUAAAAUAAAUAUAAUAAGAUAUAAUAUAAAGGAUAAAGCUCUAUGUUAUGACAAAAUAUAGCCUAUAUAAUAUGGUGCAAACAAUUAUAUGUUUUAAACAUGAGACACACAGCAUAUUCAAUACAAUAAAAAUUUACAAAGUUAACUGUUAAUUGUGACAGCAACCGCAAGAUCUUCAAUGGUCUUCUGAACUGCUUCCAUGGUGUCAAAUAAAAGUGAAAACUUGCACUUUGAAGGAGAGAAAGAUCCACAGGGUAUCAGGCACUCAAACACACAUUAGAAACUUCACAUAUACAUUUUAAUUUCAAUAAUUAAUAGAGAGCAAUUCAAAUGUGUGUAACUUGAACGACAUCUACUCACAAAAAAAAAUCGCUGUGUUCUGUUGCUUAGUGGCACUUGCCUUAGCUGCACCAAGAGCAGAUAGUGGAGGACACCUACCACUGCCCGCUCCUGGCAUUUCCUAUGGAGGCAUCCCGUAUGGCAGUAUGAGCGGUAACGUUGC